UCAUUGAGUAGAAAAAGUCUGGUUACUUUCCUGUAUUUCAUUUCUCUGCGUUUACAUUCAGCAUUAUAAUAAAAUCCUCAGAAUUUUCAUCUCUUUCAGUGGUUUCCCAUCAAAUUGGUAUCUGAACAUCAACGUCCUGAUGGCCCCAAAAAAACGGAAGGCAGGGUAGAAGCAGUGGAGAGAGAUGUUGAAAAAAUGAAGGUGGAGAUGCAGCAACUUCCAGGCCUAGCAGAAUCAGUGGAACAAUUAACCCAAAGCUUGGCUAUAGUACUACAAUCCAUAGAAGGAACUAGGAAGGCGGUGGCUACAAUGGCAAAUUCAAAAGUUGGGGAAAGUAGAAAUAUAGAAAAGGAUGGAUCAAGCGACAUUACCAGGGAUCCUGCUACAAAAUAAACAACUGGCAAACAUUGGUGAUCAACGCAGCCUGGAUCAUGGCAAAUGGUCGGAGGGGUCGGGUGAAGCUAAUUUCAGGGGAGGUAUUGUCACUGCCGACCAAUACAAAGGAGGAGAUAAUUGGAGAAAAAUACGAAAAAUCAAAAUGCCCAUUUUCAGUGGGACGGACCCGGAUGGAUGGUUAUUCCAUGCUGAGAGAUAUUUCGAUAUUAAUGGGUUGACCGAGCAGCAGAAAUUAGGGGCGGUAGGGGUAAGUCUUGAUGGUGACGCGCUUUCAUGGCUUCAAUGGAUAGAGGCGAGAAUGCCGUUCCAAAAUUGGCAAAAGUUCAGGCACCAACUGCUGCUGCGAUUCCGAUCAACAUAGGAGGGGAGUAUGUGUGAAAAAUUUCUCGUCAAAGGACAAAGGGACACUGUAGCAGAAUUUCGAUGGGAGUUCGAAGUGUUAG
rnacentral:lncRNA from 1 species